AGCUAGCCAGCUUCCUCCGGAGUCACAAAAGGGGUACUCCGUAGAAAUAUAGCAUGGCAGCUAACAGAGUUGGUGUUCUAUUCUUACUCCUUGUUUGCGGGGUGUUUCUACUAGCGGUCAAGCCGGAACACGCUAGUGCUAAAAUAUGCCCUCAAUAUUGCAGAGUGGCAGAGUACAUGAUAUGCGGUGGAGAGAAGAAGCCGGCGGCAUGCAACUGCUGUUUUGCUGGAAAGGGUUGCACCAUUUACUACAGCGAUGGAACCAAAUCAGUUUGCAGCUGAUAUUGGAAACUUAAAAAGCAUCGAUGGACAAUCAAAGAAAAGGGCAUGCAACUGCUUAUAAUAAAUACAGUACAAUGUUAUUUACUCUCUCUUCCUAAUCACAAUUGUGGCUGCUGGUUUUUUUCUUAAGAUCGUAUUGCCUCUUCAGAUUGUCGUAAUUACCAAUAAAAACCACGUAUCGUCUAUGUUACU